rnacentral:rRNA from 1 species
GGAACUGGAGAGUGGCGCACGGGUGAGUAACGCGUGGGGACCUACCUCUUAGUGGGGGAUAACGGUUGGAAACGACCGCUAAUACCGCAUACGCCCUUCGGGGGAAAGAUUUAUCGCUAAGAGAUGGACCCGCGUUGGAUUAGAUAGUUGGUGAGGUAACGGCUCACCAAGUCAGCGAUCCAUAGCUGGUUUGAGAGGAUGAUCAGCCACACUGGGACUGAGACACGGCCCAUACUCCUACGGGAGGCAGCAGUGGGGAAUAUUGGACAAUGGGGGCAACCCUGAUCCAGCCAUGCCGCGUGAGUGAAGAAGGCCUUCGGGUUGUAAAGCUCUUUCAGAUGCGAAGAUGAUGACGGUAACAUCAGAAUAAGCCCCGGCUAAUUUCGUGCCAGCAGCCGCGGUAAUACGAAAGGGGCUAGCGUUGUUCGGAUUUACUGGGCGUAAAGGGCACGCA